GUGGGGCAGGGACAUAGAUAUACAACGGGAUUGCAUCUUUUUUCAUAAGUGGGGCGAGUUGACACUACUAAAUUCAUUGUGGUUUAUCUAUUUGUCCCGAGUGGGGCAAGUUGGCAAACCUUAUUUCAGCGGGAUUUCAACCCUUUUCAUAAGUGGGGUAUGUUGAUCAACCUUUAUGCAAUGAGAUUUUACCCUUUUUCAUAAGUGGGGCGAUU
rnacentral:lncRNA from 1 species